UACAGAGGGUGCGAGCGUUAAUCGGAAUUACUGGGCGUAAAGCGUGCGUAGACGGUUAUUUAAGUCGGAUGUGAAAGCCCCGGGCUCAACCUGGGAAAUGCAUUCGAGACUGAAUAGCUAGGGUGCGGUAGAGGGAAGCGGAAUUUCCGGUGUAGCGGUGAAAUGCGUAGAUAUCGGAAGGAACAUCAGUGGCGAAAGCGGCUUCCUGGACCAGCACCGACGUUCAGGCACGAAAGCGUGGGGAGCAAACAGG
rnacentral:rRNA from 1 species